UACAGAGGUCCCAAGCGUUGUUCGGAUUCACUGGGCGUAAAGGGUGCGUAGGCGGUCGGGUAAGUCUGGCGUGAAAUCUCCAAGCCUAACUUGGAAACUGCGUUGGAUACUAUCCGGCUCGAGGAAUGGAGGGGAGACUGGAAUACUUGGUGUAGCAGUGAAAUGCGUAGAUAUCAAGUGGAACACCAGUGGCGAAGGCGAGUCUCUGGACAUUUCCUGACGCUGAGGCACGAAAGCCGGGGGAGCAAACGGG
rnacentral:rRNA from 1 species